GAUGAACGCUGGCGGCGUGCCUAAUACAUGCAAGUCGAGCGAACGGACGAGAAGCUUGCUUUUCUGAUGUUAGCGGCGGACGGGUGAGUAACACGUGGAUAACCUACCUAUAAGACUGGGAUAACUUCGGGAAACCGGAGCUAAUACCGGAUAAUAUUUUGAACCGCAUGGUUCAAUAGUGAAAGACGGUCUUGCUGUCACUUAUAGAUGGAUCCGCGCUGCAUUAGCUAGUUGGUAAGGUAACGGCUUACCAAGGCAACGAUGCAUAGCCGACCUGAGAGGGUGAUCGGCCACACUGGAACUGAGACACGGUCCAGACUCCUACGGGAGGCAGCAGUAGGGAAUCUUCCGCAAUGGGCGAAAGCUUGACGGAGCAACGCCGCGUGAGUGAUGAAGGUCUUCGGAUCGUAAAACUCUGUUAUUAGGGAAGAACAUAUGUGUAAGUAACUGUGCACGUCUUGACGGUACCUAAUCAGAAAGCCACGGCUAACUACGUG
rnacentral:rRNA from 1 species